rnacentral:lncRNA from 13 species
AAUUAGAGAAGAAGGGGAUGGUGAGCUUCUAAGAGCUAGUCCAGGAGCAGGAAGGUCUGUGUAAUACUAUAAAAGGGCUUAGAGUAAAUGCAGUGUGACUGUGUGAGUUUCCUGCAAUCCACACAGGGGAAGUCACAAGGAAGGGAAUACAGGCUGGAGAGAGCAGCAGUCAGACACUGCCAUGCCCACAGGGAGCUUGUGGACCAGCUCUUGGUGGGAGAAAGAACUGGCGGUCAAAACGGAAGAUGCAGGAAUGUGGCUAUGAUGGCAGGGCACUGUUCAGCCAUAUUGGAUGAAGAGAUGGAAGUCACAUGAGGACAACAGCAGAGCCACAAGACAGAAGAAACUUGGGGGCAAGGAAGUUAAGGGUAGCUUCUUGUGACAGCAGCUACUAAUCAUCUCCAGUAUUUAUUCUCCAUUUCGUCUCCUUUUUAGCAUUGGGUCUCUGCCCCAGACUUAUCUAGAUGCAUAGGAAAUCAGUUGGAUAACUUAUUUCCUAGCCUCCCCUGCAGUAUGGUCGUGUGACUAAGUUCUCAUCAAUGAAUUUUAAGCAGGAAUAGUGAGCUGUAGUUCUGCCUUUAUUCUAAUUAAAAUAUGUUCAUAACCCUUUUUGUCUUUUUGGGAUAGAAAUCAGUCCAAUCCUGGGGAUAGCCAAGGUGGAUUACUGUUUGAAAUUUUCUAUCAAUUGGACACAUCAUCUAACAUCUGUUACCAGUAUGUAGAAUAACAACAGCGAAGAGGCCAUUUGGUUUACCUGCUCUUCCUUCCGGCUUCUUUGGCUCCCUCUUAGACCUUUAUCAAAAUACCAUAUUGGCAUUGUUGCUUUAGCUGUCUGUUUUGUGCACUAGAUUGUGAUUCCUGGAAGGCUGAAAUUUAUCUUUAUAUUUAUCUGAAUUCCCAGUUCUGGAAUAGCACUUGAUACAUAAAAGGUAUCCAGCUGAUGUUUGCUGAACAAAGAAAUGAAGGUAAUGUUUGAAAUGAAGGUAAUGUUUGAAGUUGAGAGAGAAUGAUGGGAAGGCAGACUAAACACAGAAUUGAGAAUUAGGAAAACUUGAAGAGAUUAUUUCCAAAGUCUUAUUGGUUACAACAUUGGUUGGUGAUAUAUCCAGAAUAUGAAUGUUCUGGAUCACUUCUAGUCUACACUUUAACUACACUGAUGUAGCUAUAAUUACAUCCAGAUCAGGAGGACAUCUUAAGGAGAGGUUACAGAUAGGAGCAGGAGACAAAAGAGAAUAGAAGUGGGUAAGCAUAUGAAUGAGCAUGGGUGAUGAUAUGGUUUGGCUGUGUCCCCACCCAAAUCUCAUCUUGAAUUGUA